rnacentral:rRNA from 1 species
GGGUUGUGAGGUUAAGCGACUAAGCGUACACGGUGGAUGCCCUGGCAGUCAGAGGCGAUGAAGGACGUGCUAAUCUGCGAUAAGCGCCGGUAAGGUGAUAUGAACCGUUAUAACCGGCGAUUUCCGAAUGGGGAAACCCAGUGUGACUCGUCACACUAUCAUUAACUGAAUCCAUAGGUUAAUGAGGCGAACCGGGGGAACUGAAACAUCUAAGUACCCCGAGGAAAAGAAAUCAACCGAGAUUCCCCCAGUAGCGGCGAGCGAACGGGGAGGAGCCCAGAGCCUGAAUCAGCAUGUGUGUUAGUGGAAGCGUCUGGAAAGGCGCGCGAUACAGGGUGACAGCCCCGUACACAAAAGCGCAUGUGCUGUGAGCUCGAUGAGUAGGGCGGGACACGUGGUAUCCUGUCUGAAUAUGGGGGGACCAUCCUCCAAGGCUAAAUACUCCUGACUGACCGAUAGUGAACCAGUACCGUGAGGGAAAGGCGAAAAGAACCCCGGCGAGGGGAGUGAAAAAGAACCUGAAACCGUGUACGUACAAGCAGUGGGAGCCCCACCACUAAGCCAGUGGUGAACUCCACAUACGCAUCCUUUGCUGAGGAUACGGUUAACGGAGCGAAAGCGACGUUCAACCUCAAAAGAAGCAGAGGGGGCUUAGUGGUGGGGUGACUGCGUACCUUUUGUAUAAUGGGUCAGCGACUUAUAUUCUGUAGCAAGGUUAACCGUAUAGGGGAGCCGCAGGGAAACCGAGUCUUAACCGGGCGUUAAGUUGCAGGGUAUAGACCCGAAACCCGGUGAUCUAGCCAUGGGCAGGUUGAAGGUUGGGUAACACUAACUGGAGGACCGAACCGACUAAUGUUGAAAAAUUAGCGGAUGACCUGUGGCUGGGGGUGAAAGGCCAAUCAAACCGGGAGAUAGCUGGUUCUCCCCGAAAGCUAUUUAGGUAGCGCCUCGUGAACUCAUCUCCGGGGGUAGAGCACUGUUUCGGCUAGGGGGCCAUCCCGGCUUACCAACCCGAUGCAAACUGCGAAUACCGGAGAAUGUUAUCACGGGAGACACACGGCGGGUGCUAACGUCCGUCGUGAAGAGGGAAACAACCCAGACCGCCAGCUAAGGUCCCAAAGUCAUGGUUAAGUGGGAAACGAUGUGGGAAGGCCCAGACAGCCAGGAUGUUGGCUUAGAAGCAGCCAUCAUUUAAAGAAAGCGUAAUAGCUCACUGGUCGAGUCGGCCUGCGCGGAAGAUGUAACGGGGCUAAACCAUGCACCGAAGCUGCGGCAGCGACACUAUGUGUUGUUGGGUAGGGGAGCGUUCUGUAAGCCUGUGAAGGUGGCCUGUGAGGGUUGCUGGAGGUAUCAGAAGUGCGAAUGCUGACAUAAGUAACGAUAAAGCGGGUGAAAAGCCCGCUCGCCGGAAGACCAAGGGUUCCUGUCCAACGUUAAUCGGGGCAGGGUGAGUCGACCCCUAAGGCGAGGCCGAAAGGCGUAGUCGAUGGGAAACGGGUUAAUAUUCCCGUACUUGGUGUUACUGCGAAGGGGGGACGGAGAAGGCUAUGUUGGCCGGGCGACGGUUGUCCCGGUUUAAGCGUGUAGGUGUGUGUUCCAGGUAAAUCCGGUUCACUUUAACACUGAGGCGUGAUGACGAGGCACUACGGUGCUGAAGCAACAAAUGCCCUGCUUCCAGGAAAAGCCUCUAAGCAUCAGGUAACAUCAAAUCGUACCCCAAACCGACACAGGUGGUCAGGUAGAGAAUACCAAGGCGCUUGAGAGAACUCGGGUGAAGGAACUAGGCAAAAUGGUGCCGUAACUUCGGGAGAAGGCACGCUGACAUGUAGGUGAAGUGAUUUACUCAUGGAGCUGAAGUCAGUCGAAGAUACCAGCUGGCUGCAACUGUUUAUUAAAAACACAGCACUGUGCAAACACGAAAGUGGACGUAUACGGUGUGACGCCUGCCCGGUGCCGGAAGGUUAAUUGAUGGGGUCAGCGCAAGCGAAGCUCCUGAUCGAAGCCCCGGUAAACGGCGGCCGUAACUAUAACGGUCCUAAGGUAGCGAAAUUCCUUGUCGGGUAAGUUCCGACCUGCACGAAUGGCGUAAUGAUGGCCAGGCUGUCUCCACCCGAGACUCAGUGAAAUUGAACUCGCUGUGAAGAUGCAGUGUACCCGCGGCAAGACGGAAAGACCCCGUGAACCUUUACUAUAGCUUGACACUGAACAUUGAGCCUUGAUGUGUAGGAUAGGUGGGAGGCUUUGAAGUGUGGACGCCAGUCUGCAUGGAGCCGACCUUGAAAUACCACCCUUUAAUGUUUGAUGUUCUAACGUGGACCCGUAAUCCGGGUUGCGGACAGUGUCUGGUGGGUAGUUUGACUGGGGCGGUCUCCUCCUAAAGAGUAACGGAGGAGCACGAAGGUUGGCUAAUCCUGGUCGGACAUCAGGAGGUUAGUGCAAUGGCAUAAGCCAGCUUGACUGCGAGCGUGACGGCGCGAGCAGGUGCGAAAGCAGGUCAUAGUGAUCCGGUGGUUCUGAAUGGAAGGGCCAUCGCUCAACGGAUAAAAGGUACUCCGGGGAUAACAGGCUGAUACCGCCCAAGAGUUCAUAUCGACGGCGGUGUUUGGCACCUCGAUGUCGGCUCAUCACAUCCUGGGGCUGAAGUAGGUCCCAAGGGUAUGGCUGUUCGCCAUUUAAAGUGGUACGCGAGCUGGGUUUAGAACGUCGUGAGACAGUUCGGUCCCUAUCUGCCGUGGGCGCUGGAGAACUGAGGGGGGCUGCUCCUAGUACGAGAGGACCGGAGUGGACGCAUCACUGGUGUUCGGGUUGUCAUGCCAAUGGCACUGCCCGGUAGCUAAAUGCGGAAGAGAUAAGUGCUGAAAGCAUCUAAGCACGAAACUUGCCCCGAGAUGAGUUCUCCCUGAGACUUUAGGUCUCCUGAAGGAACGUUGAAGACGACGACGUUGAUAGGCCGGGUGUGUAAGCGCAGCGAUGCGUUGAGCUAACCGGUACUAAUGAACCGUGAGGCUUAACCUUACAACGCCGAAG